rnacentral:lncRNA from 1 species
GCUGUUAUGUGAGAACAUUAGGCCACAGCAACAUGUCAUUGUGAAUAUAAAUAGUUUCUGGAAAGGACACUGACAACUUCAAAGCAAAAUGAAGCUCUUUUGGUUGCUUUUCACCAUUGGGUUCUGCUGGGCUCAGUAUUCCUCAAAUACACAACAAGGACGAACAUCUAUUGUUCAUCUGUUUGAAUGGCGAUGGGUUGAUAUUGCUCUUGAAUGUGAGCGAUAUUUAGCUCCCAAGGGAUUUGGAGGGGUUCAGGUCUCUCCACCAAAUGAAAAUGUUGCCAUUCACAACCCUUUCAGACCUUGGUGGGAAAGAUACCAACCAGUUAGCUAUAAAUUAUGCACAAGAUCUGGAAAUGAAGAUGAAUUUAGAAACAUGGUGACUAGAUGCAACAAUGUUGGG